AGUGAACGCUGGCGGUAGGCCUAACACAUGCAAGUCGAACGGCAGCACAGUAAGAGCUUGCUCUUACGGGUGGCGAGUGGCGGACGGGUGAGGAAUACAUCGGAAUCUACUUUUUCGUGGGGGAUAAUGUAGGGAAACUUACGCUAAUACCGCAUACGACCUACGGGUGAAAGCAGGGGAUCUUCGGACCUUGCGCGAUUGAAUGAGCCGAUGUCUGAUUAGCUAGUUGGCGGGGUAACGGCCCACCAAGGCGACGAUCCGUAGCUGGUCUGAGAGGAGGAUCAGCCACACAGGAACUGAGACACGGGCCAGGCGCUGACGGGAGGCGCAGUGGGGAAUAUUGGACAAUAGGCGCAAGCCUGAUCCAGCCAUACCGCGUGGGUGAAGAAGGCCUUCGGGUUGGAAAGCCCGUUUGUUGGGAAAGAAAAGCAGCAGGUUAAUACCCCGCUGUUCUGACGGUACCCAAAGAAUAAGCACCGGCUAACUUCGUG
rnacentral:rRNA from 1 species